CCUACGGGAGGCAGCAGUAGGGAAUCUUCCACAAUGGACGAAAGUCUGAUGGAGCAACGCCGCGUGAGCGAUGAAGGCCUUCGGGUCGUAAAGCUCUGUUGUUAGGGAAGAACAAGUGCGAGAGUAACUGCUCGCACCUUGACGGUACCUAACCAGAAAGCCACGGCUAACUACGUGCCAGCAGCCGCGGUAAUACGUAGGUGGCAAGCGUUGUCCGGAAUUAUUGGGCGUAAAGCGCGCGCAGGCGGUUUCUUAAGUCUGAUGUGAAAGCCCACGGGUCAACCGUGGAGGGUCAUUGGAAACUGCGUAACUUGAGUCCAGAAGAGGAAAGUGGAAUUCCACGUGUAGCGGUGAAAUGCGUAGAGAUGUGGAGGAACACCAGUGGCGAAGGCGACUUUCUGGUCUGUAACUGACGCUGAGGCGCGAAAGCGUGGGGAGCAAACAGGAUUAGAUACCCUGGUAGUC
rnacentral:rRNA from 1 species